AAACAAGGUGUGGAACAGAAGUCUUAUUUAAACAGUGGCCAGAACCAUAAAACAAAAUCGGCAAACUGAGCGACGGAGAUGGCCCAGGGAGAACUGGCUCUGUAAAUAGAAACCCAGAUAGAUUCCCUUGGCAGCUGGCACCACCGAGGGUGUGGCUGCCCUCCGCGUGUGCACAGGAGACCAAUUCAUACCAGCAAGACCGGAAAAAUCACAACUGAGAGCAACUGUGGAAGCAGCGAGAGCCAAGAACAGAACGCAAAGGGCUGCCUCUCUGCUAGGUUUAUUAAAUUUCGUAGCCGCGGAUUGAACUGUUCCAUAACAUUCUGGAAAACAAACAGAACAAACAAAUUAAUCAAAGAAGGGAACAGCAGGCCCAGGCAUCUUUAGAUGCUGUUAUCACACAGGCCUGGGACACCUCUGUGUGCUGGGCAGGACAGCCUACCAGUCGGGAAUGCUGACUUGAAGACAGUGAAGGGCGCUGAUGAACAGGGCGCUCGCCAAGGGCUGCCUAGGACCUACUUGUAAAUGGAGCAAGUAGUGGACAGGCUGCCUCUCCGAAGCGAGCCCUGCAGGGGCUGGGAGCCCAGAGCUGAUGCCGCCUGGUUUUAAGGAGGUCAAUGGUUGUCAUUCUCCUGAUCAGAAUUUAAUUAUAUGGGCAAUGUUUUGGCUAUCAAUUGGAUAGAAAUGUCCAAGAGACUGUGUUUUUACUCUGCCUAAGUACAGGGGAGGGUGUGGGGUGAGCGUUGCUGACAGCUCUAGGACAGUUUCUUUCUAGGUGGUCACUGCCCCCCUCCCAGUAAUCAGGGUAUUUACUAAGUGCUUCUGGAGUAACUCCUGUG